GGCCCCAUCGUCUAAUGGUUUAGGACAUCGCCUUCUCAAGGCGGUAAUAUGGGUUCGAAUCCCGUUGGGGCUA
rnacentral:tRNA from 2 species